rnacentral:rRNA from 1 species
UACAGAGGGUGCGAGCGUUAAUCGGAAUUACUGGGCGUAAAGCGCACGUAGGUGGCGACGUAAGUCGGGUGUGAAAGCCCCGAGCUCAACCUGGGAAUUGCAUUCGAGACUGCAUUGCUGGAGUACGGAAGAGGAAGGCGGAAUUCCCGGUGUAGCGGUGAAAUGCGUAGAUAUCGGGAGGAACAUCAGUGGCGAAGGCGGCCUUCUGGUCCAGUACUGACACUCAAGUGCGAAAGCGUGGGGAGCAAACAGG